UGACAACGUUUGAUAUUUUAUUAUUUCAUUCGCAUCUGUAAAAAUUUAUUAACGUAUAAAAUAUUUCACAAUGUUGGCAAAUAAUUACAAACUGCUCAAAUAAGAUCUUUGAAAAAUGUAAUUAAUCAAGAAGUUUUGAAACCUAGCGUUGGUUUUAUGGGAGAGUGCAUUAGUCAGUCUCAGUAUACAUUCUGCUCGGCAGUCGACAGGGUGAAGUUUAGGUUAAUGUGUUAAGUAUUACGUUAUUGUGAAACAAUUUAUCUCAAAAUUCUGUAAAGGCAAUUGGCAAAUUAUCUAGCUCAUAAAAUCUUGCAAUUUGAUCUAGGAGAACGUAUGCACUCCAGCAAAUGCGUACGGCGGUGCAGUGGGCGUAUUGUGUCGAGUGAUAUCCAGAUGGUCGGCAUUGGUUUCUAAUUUGACGUACUGAAGCCGUCUGGAACAAGAGUGCUAAGAGCCAAGCCAUGGGGAAGAAAAUUCAUUCUCUCUGUUCAAAUGACCAGUGCAACAGCCAAAAUGACAAGGGCUUUGUUGUUGUUGCUUAGACGUUCUGAUGUUCGAAUUUUGAUAAGGUUGUAGAUCCUGCCAAUACGGAAGUUCAGCCAAUGUUGUAACACGACAAGUUGAUGCCCUCGUUACGUCGUGCGGUUCGGGUUAGUUUCACCGAGAUGAGGAAAAGCUAAUAUAAAAGCUGUACAAAAAACGAAAGCAAAUCUCAGAGGAGCAGGAAAAAUGCAUGGACAUAAUUUAAGUUGCUUCUGUAAAAUCAACAAAACAAACAAAAAAUAUUAUAAAAUUGAAUUUAAUUUUAAAAAACAACAACAACAAACAAACAAAAAAUAAAAAAAAAAAUAAAUUUUUGUUUUUUUUUCAGUUUUAAGAAAAAUAAACACUCAGGAAACUAAUAUUAUCAUCUCUCUCUCUCUUUUUGUGCUUAAGUAGAAAGCAUGUAUGGCGAGCACUGCGAAAGUAACAUAAAACAUUUUGCGUAAUCAAAUUAAGUUGGGCGUCCAUAACCUAGUGGUUAUGGCGUCUGUUGGUCAUCAAUGACCCUAGAUGAGGCUUAGAGGGAUUGAAGCAAUGUGCAUGGAAACAUGGAACAUGGAACCUGAACUUAGGGCGCGAGUCUACGGUCGAUGAUCAACUUUUGCCAAAUUAACAACUUUUGAGAAUAAAAAUCAAUAAAACAAAACAAAAGGCAGUGCAUAAAAUUAAGCAACGUAACGUAACGUAAUAAUGUCAUUAAUAAUUAAACUAAUAACACGUUCUGGUAGAAGAUAGCAAAUGAUAUCUUUCCAGGUGAUCUGCUAUGUCAACGUUCAAAUCUUGACAGAUGCCAAAAAAUAUUUUCAGCUUAAAGUUUCGUUUUAAGUCCAUUUUUAGGUUUUUUAUGCACUUGGGAUUGUGUAGAUAUGCGUUUUAGAAUUUUCCUUGGUUGCAUACUGAAUUUAAUCGAGGGUUGCAACUUGAAAGUAACAUGCUAUUCUCCUUCUCCAUUUCAAAUUUUUUACCUUAAGCUGCAGUGACUUCCGUAUGUGAGAUGCGUGAUGUUGACAACUUGUUAUUAUGGUGUGCCAUUGUACGAACGUUUAGUAGAUAUUGUAUUACUGAUAGUCCGAGUUCCGGCUUACUAUCAGAAGGUACUAGCGCGACACACAGAAAAGUGCGCCCUUUUUUGUUUACUUCUUUUUUUCGGCUUCGCGCUACUAGUAACUUCUCGUAGUAAGGGUCUCGGGUAAUUGAGGCCGAGCCCGACUGAGUACUGUUUGGAUAUUCAAAUUUUUCUUAGGUAUCUGUUAAAUUCAUUUCUGCCAUUGGAGCAGCUACAGGUAUUAAAACUAUUGAUCCGGCAGCAGAAUUUGGUGCUUUUUAUUUUUAAUUAGAAAAAUUCCUUAUAAAAAUCAGUCCCAAUAAAUUCCUCCAAUAAUCCAGCAUCAUUCUUGUGUUGUUUUUAACUAUUGCCUUCUUUAACUCCUUUGUUUGUCUUCGAAUGAGGUAAUAAUUCAGCAAACACAAGAAUGAUGCUGGAUAUGUUUUAUUUACAGUGACAACAUAACAUCGGUGGCAUUCCCUUCGGACACCGAGUGAUCCCAAGGCAUCAGGUACAUCCAGGAUAUCUGCAAGUACAAUUUAAAAAUUUAUUCUGUUAACCCCUAACGAUCAAUCCAGGACUUAGUUUUCUUGUCUAGUCGUCUAAGGCGGUCUAAGGGUCUAAACGUUACAAUCAGGUUGCAAAAAAUAUUGCAGAGAUAAAUCACUUGCUUUAAAAACAAUAUUUAGUAGCAAAGCUGGGUGCAUAAAACAUGCAUUUUAAUCUAGACAAAUGAGAAUACGAAUUCAUUACUUGGGAAACUGCUACGAAUUGUGAUUAUUCCCCUCGCGCUAUCGGGAGUGCGUGGAACAUCAUUCAGAGAACUACGCUAGUGCCUGAUGACAUCCAUAGGGCUUGUACCAUUUGCCUCGGAAGGUGUAUAAAUGCCUGGUAGUAUUCCUAUGUUUGCUAUCACUUACCGAGUUGAGCUCAGCAACAGCAGAACAGCAAGAAAUCAAUCUCUUCUUUAGAAUGAAACAGCAGACGUUCGCUGUAAUUGUCUUGGUAGUAUUGUGUUCAGUUCAACCUUAGCUUAAAGAAACUGGUGAUGAUAGUUUUGCUCCUCUAACGAAAACAUCGGAAGAAGAAAACUCGCCUGUGUCCCGCCUUAACAUUGUUGAAGACGCAACGGGUAGACAGUCUUUGCCAAUGCUUCCUCAACCAUGCUCAACCAAGAAUUACCAUAGGGUCUACUGUACGUCUAGGUGUAAAGGUGUUCCGUAGGCCUAUAGGCCUAUCGUGAAACAAACUCGAUUAACCAUGACACGCUUGUUUUUUACACAAGUUUUAUAAAGAGAAACAUGUUAAAUGCGAAGGGUUAACGAGAACAUUUUUGUAUGAAACAUAUCAUUUGACAUUAAUGUUAUACUUCAAGAACGACUGUGAUGAACGAAUAAAUAUGGGAGAUGAAAUGUU